UGUAUGCAGUGUAUGUAUUAUCUUGUGUAUGUGCAGUGUGAGUAUUAGCAAUGUGUGUAUUGUGUUAAGAAUGUUAGUAGUAUAGUAUAUCUGUGUAACGCCCGACUUUUCCCUAUUCCUUUAAGUUGUUUUUGGAUUACUGUCGAAAUUUUUUUAGCCAACUAUCGUUCCGUUUUAUUUUGAGAGCCUAUGGAAUUUAUUUUUUAAGAAGCCGAAAUAUUAAAUAAAGAUUCUAUAGAGAUUUUUCUCCUCCGUGAUCUGCAAUUAAAUAUUAAACAAAUUCAAUUUAAUUCAAAAAAAAAGUAAGAAUUCGAAAUUUCUCUCCUUCCCCACGUUGGACAAACCGUUCCCCUCUCUCCCCAAAUCUCUCUCACAUCCAAACCACUCAUCCCUCUAUUUUAAAUCUCCAAUUCAGUUUAUCUUCCCUAUUCUACACGCUCUCCGCAAGCAAGAAGAACCAAGACCCAUUACGCUCAAUUUCAAUUCGAGAAAUCGAAACUCUCGUGUUCAAAGAACCUCCCUUUUGUGAACUCCACAACCAAGUCCUACUCACGAAGGUGAUUCCUUGCAAGCGAGACGUGAUAAUCAAGGGAAAGGAAAUCAUUUCAGAUUAAGAACUUGAGGUUGAGCGUGACGGGUGCGGUGGGUGUUGAGCAAGACCGUUGAAGAAAUUUAAGUGUUU